rnacentral:rRNA from 1 species
CCUACGGGUGGCAGCAGUGGGGAAUAUUGGACAAUGGGGGAAACCCUGAUCCAGCGACGCCGCGUGAGUGAAGAAGUAUUUCGGUACGUAAAGCUCUAUCAGCAGGGAAGAAAAUGACGGUACCUGACUAAGAAGCCCCGGCUAACUACGUGCCAGCAGCCGCGGUAAUACGUAGGGGGCAAGCGUUAUCCGGAUUUACUGGGUGUAAAGGGCUCGUAGACGGGAGCGCAAGUCUAGAGUGAAAUGCCCGCGCCCAACCACGGAACUGCCGUGGAAACUGGGAAGCUGGAGUGUGGGAGAGGUAAGCGGAAUUCCAGGUGUAGCGGUGAAAUGCGUAGAUAUCAGGAGGAACACCGGUGGCGAAGGCGGCUGACUGGACUGUAACUGACGUUGAGGCGCGAAGGCGUGGGGAGCAAACAGGAUUAGAUACCCGGGUAGUC